UACGGGGGGGGCAAGCGUUGUUCGGAAUUACUGGGCGUAAAGGGCUCGUAGGUGGCCAACUAAGUCAGACGUGAAAUCCCUCAGCUUAACUGGGGAACUGCGUCUGAUACUGGAUGGCUUGAGUUUGGGAGAGGGAUGCGGAAUUCCAGGUGUAGCGGUGAAAUGCGUAGAUAUCUGGAGGAACACCGGUGGCGAAGGCGGCUCACUGGUCCAUUACUGACGCUGAGGUGCGAAAGCGUGGGGAGCAAACAGG
rnacentral:rRNA from 1 species